rnacentral:lncRNA from 1 species
UUACUCGUUUGUUUUGCGACUGAUGAAAUGCCGGCACAUAUAUAUUUUCAACAUUUGACAUAACCCUGUAUGUUUUGCAGGGACAACCCAGGACGUGCAUUUCUCAGCACCCAGUCAACUGCCAAAAGUGACUCAAACACAGGCCACCAGUGGAACUCAGCUGUACCACUGCAGUGCUGUGGAAAUUGCCUUCACCAGCGGCUUUGCAACAGCUGUUUCGCAGCAUGCCGGAGACAAUGCCUACGAAAUUAUUGGCCCUGAUCAUGAGAGCCCUCAAGGGGCAAACAACAUCUGUUGCAGAAGUGAGCCCGAUACCACUUGGAAGUUACCAUGACAGAUGACACGGCAGCAAUAGAUACAGAGACUGCCAUGUCUACUGCAGCUGCAACAGUGUACGAGGCAAGCAGCAGCGCGUCAGCAUCAGCAGCAGUGUCAGAAGGAACCACACCAGGCGUGGUAGAGCAACAUGUGUGCUAUCACUGACUUUUUUUGUAGUGGAUACAACUCAUUUGCUAAACAUACAAAAGCUUUUCACCACGACUGUGAGCCAGUGUUAUUGUGCAGCAAGUGCAAGACUAAGUUAGGUGUUAUAACACAGUACAAGCGUCACUUUAAUAUAUGCAAAUGCAAACAUAUUACAGUUGUUGCCUCCCCAGCCAGCCCACAUAGUGACAACAAUGUGGAACACAUGAUGGGACACACCUCUCCCCCAUUACAAGAUAGUAGAGACUGUCAGUGUUGUUGCUAGAUUGACUGGUCUUUGUAGGCAACUAGAAGGACAACACAGGUGUCAUAAGAUUGUUGUUGAUGUUGUUGUUGAAGAGGUAAAAAAGAAGUUUGAUGCAGCUGAAGUGCCAACUGAUAUUGAGCAAAUCAAAAGCAACCACCCGAGAAAGCAACACUAUCGAAAUUUGGGUAUCUAUGUGCCGCCAACUCUGGUAAGAAUGGCAUAGG